AAGAGCUAGCUGCUGCCAAUAUUUGCGGUUGCGGCAUCAUCAAGAUUCACAAGCUUUAGCAAGGGAAUUCAUUGAAUAGGCCUAUUCAAAAGUUCCUUCCAAAUAAUGGGAAUCUUGAUGAUGCUGCAUCAGCAAAUAUUUGACUACGAUUCAUACCAC
rnacentral:pre_miRNA from 1 species